rnacentral:rRNA from 1 species
GACGAACGCUGGCGGCGUGCUUAACACAUGCAAGUCGAGCGGAGCGGCGAACGGGUGAGUAACGCGUGAGUAACUGCCCCCCUCUCUGGGAUAACAGUUGGAAACGGCUGCUAAUACCGGAUAGUGGGGGAUGACUCGCGUCCUAUCAGCUUGUUGGUCGGGUAGUGGACUACCAAGGCGACGACGGGUAGCCGGCCUGAGAGGGCGACCGGCCACAAUGGGCUAAGGUACGGACCAGACGGCUACGGGAGGCAGCAGUGGGGAGUAUUGCACAAUGGGGGAAACCCUGAUGAAGCGACGCCGGGUGCGGAAUGACGGCCUUCGGGUUAUGAACCGCUUUCAGCCAUGACGCGGUAGUGGCAGAAGAAGCACCGGCUAACUACGUGCCAGCAGCCGCGGUAAUUC